rnacentral:lncRNA from 1 species
CAAGAUUUCUGCCUUACCCAAAACUUCCACAGCACUUUCCACCGAGGAGAAGAGCAUGGUACAGUACAGACAAUCAGUACCAGUCGAAGAGAGAGGAUGACAAAACUGUUGUAGGAGUUAUAGGUCGAUAGCUUGUCUGCACAGGAGAUUAACAGAAAAAACACCAUUCAAGAGUCGAGCUUGUUCCCUGGCCAGUAUCACCAGAAUCAGGGCUUGUCCAGGGACAGGCAGAUCCACAGAGGCCCCAGCACCACCAGUCUGAUAACACAGGAAUGCUAUGAAGAGUGGGGAGGACCUUAUUCUGCAGGAAGUUAGGGCUACUAUCUGCCCUGCCACAAAAGGACCAGCUGACAUCAUGUCAGGGAUUCUCUCGUUAACACAGGUGUGAGUGUUGACAAGGACAAAGCUGGAGAUCACUCUGUCAUGCUGUUUGAGUUCGAAUAACAGACUGG